CUGCUGCCUCCCGUAGGAGUUUGGGCCGUGUCUCAGUCCCAAUGUGGCCGUUCACCCUCUCAGGCCGGCUACUGAUCGUCGCCUUGGUGGGCUGUUACCCCGCCAACAAGCUAAUCAGACGCGGAUCCAUCGUAUACCACCGGAGUUUUUCACACCGUCUCAUGCGAGACUGUGCGCUUAUGCGGUAUUAGUACCUAUUUCUAAGUGUUAUCCCCCAGUAUACGGCAGGUUAUCCACGCGUUACUCACCCGUCCG
rnacentral:rRNA from 1 species